AGCGAACGCUGGCGGCAGGCCUAACACAUGCAAGUCGAGCGCCCCGCAAGGGGAGCGGCAGACGGGAGAGUAACACGUGGGAACGUGCCCUUUGGUUCGGAACAACCCAGGGAAACUUGGGCUAAUACCGGAUAAGCCCUCACGGGGAAAGAUUUAUCGCCGAAGGAUCGGCCCGCGUCUGAUUAGCUAGUUGGUGGGGUAAUGGCCCACCAAGGCGACGAUCAGUAGCUGGUCUGAGAGGAUGAUCAGCCUCACUGGGACUGAGACACGGCCCAGACUCCUACGGGAGGCAGCAGUGGGGAAUAUUGGACAAUGGGCGCAAGCCUGAUCCAGCCAUGCCGCGUGGGUGAUGAAGGCCCUAGGGUUGUAAAGCCCUUUCGGCGGGGAAGAUAAUGACGGUACCCGCAGAAGAAGCCCCGGCUAACUUCGUGCCAGCCGCCGCCGUAACAC
rnacentral:rRNA from 1 species